GCUGGUUAAGCUUUCAACUAGGGACCCACCAGAAACAGGAAGUGGCUCUCUUAAAAUUCCUCACUCUGGAGAAGUCAUGCUGAAGCCUAGCAUAAGCUUUUAAAGCUGCAGCCUUAAUUAAAAAUGGUUGUUUUUAUUAAAAACAAGGCAGAAUAGAUGAUAUCCUUCAACCUUCAUUUGACUCAGGGGGAACACAAAGGAAAACUAGCCCCUAGUUAUGGAAGAUAAAAGACAACAGCAUAGCUCUCACAAACUAUAAAAGAAAUGGCAGACCUGUUUCUAGACUGUAUAGCUUCAGAUGACACACAGGAUUCAUCUCAUAUUCAUUCUGACAAGUCCUUCAAGUCCAGAUGUCUUUGGAUGGGAUGGAUGGCUUGUGUGUAAAUUUAGCAUUGUCCUGUUCUUCCAUAUUAUAUAUGAAAGGUCACUUGCAGGAAUCUCAAAAAUCAGGCCAGUUUUUCAACUUCUGAAGGAUUAUUAACUUCAAAGUCGGAAGAAAUGUCGGCCUUCUAUGUUUGGAAAUGCCAGCAGCCUUUGCAUAUCCCCACCACAGUACCAAGCAACCCCCAGCAGAGAGGAGCGAUUACUGCCUCGGUGGCGAGAGGAUGGCUUUUGAUCUCCUAACAUAUUGGAAAUUACUUAAAGGGGUCCUGUCCUCUUUUGCACCUGACCAUCCUAUCAGCAACUUGAAUGGGUGGGGAACGGGAUCGGCAUCAAACCUUUUGAGAUGCACCAAUCAGAUAACAAAGAGUUGAGGAAUGGCUGUGCUCCUGCACUCCUAAGAUCAGAGUGGACCCGAUACAUUUCGGCACCUGAGGCGAUCCACAAAACGGUGUGUGCAUCUCCCUGUCAGGGAAGAAUAGGCACAAAGACCAAGUCUUGCUACACACUGAGAUGAAGUGCCUAGCUCUGUAUUCAAGACGAUGAAUUGAAAAAGUGGAGUUUAAGAAGGGGAGCUUUUCAGCCAGAAGAAUUUGAACAAGAGUUUGGCCUGCAGCCUGCCAAGGGAUGAUAUGGAAAUCGUGGAAAAUCACUUCCCUGGGGGUCAUUUGCAAAUUGUUCAUCUAACAACCAGGAGAAGGAACUAUCCCAUUUUAAAUAUUUAGGCUGAUAUACUGAAUACUGAUACCGAAGCAACCCAUAGCAAAGUCGAACAAGAUAUCACACACAAAUGAAAUGAUGCAACCAUGAGUUAAGGAACAGAGGGAGAUCAAAAAGGCAACUGCGGUGCAGGGUGAGGAGGUGGGUCUGUUUUAAGCCAGGGGAGGGGACCUCAGUGAGGACUCCUUCAGUGAGGACUCCUUCGGGAGUCCCUAUCAGCUCCACCAUUCUGAAUCCCUGCUUCCACACCUGCCUAUAACUGGCCAAUUUUGCAGACGGGCCAAUUUGAAUUCCCACAGCCAGUGGGAGAGGUUGUUAUGUCUUCCGUUGGCUGUUGGAGCCUGGCAAGGAGAGGCUGGGUGAUGGCGGCAUGGAUAUGCCGGGCUGUAACUGCCAUUCCACUUUUAG